rnacentral:pre_miRNA from 1 species
CAUGUACUGGUGGGGUCCCUCGGCCUGGCCUGUGCCCUUUCACAAUCCGGGACCCCUUGGGGGAUGUCGGAGAACCGGUUUCAGCCCCAUCCCACAGGCCAGGCCGAGGGACCCCAUUGGUGCACG